UACGGGGGGAGCAAGCGUUGCUCGGAUUUACUGGGCGUAAAGGGCGCGUAGGCGGCCACCGCAAGUCGACUGUGAAAUCUCCGGGCUUAACCCGGAAAGGUCAGCCGAUACUGCGGGGCUAGAGUGCAGAAGGGGCAACUGGAAUUCUCGGUGUAGCGGUGAAAUGCGUAGAUAUCGAGAGGAACACCUGCGGCGAAGGCGGGUUGCUGGGCUGACACUGACGCUGAGGCGCGAAAGCUAGGGGAGCGAACGGG
rnacentral:rRNA from 1 species